UCAUAGGAGUGUAAGACAAAAAGUAUUUCUUUUGUUGUUAAGAAUUUUCUCAUUUUCAGCCAUGAGACUCAGUGUCAUGUUAAUGGUUUCUUGUGUUCUCACAUUUCUCAUUUUAAAUAAUGGUAAAGUUGAGGUGGAAGCCGGCAUGAGAAAACUUGGCUGCGAAACAUUACCAAGCAAUUAUCUUGGAACAUGCGGAAAAAAUGGAAUUAAUUUAUGUGUAGAUGACGUAAAAAAAAUGAUUGUCAAAAAUACUGGAAAAGCUGUGCCAAAAGGUUAUGGAGUACGUUGUGACAAAUGUAUUGAUGAAGCUCCCAAGCCAGGUUAUGCUCGCAUGCAUAAAUGUGUAUGUCGAUAUGAUUGCUAAAUUUAAAAAUAUCUAUAUAAGCAUAACCUCUUUACUAAUAAA